AGCGAACGCUGGCGGCAGGCCUAACACAUGCAAGUCGAGCGCCGUAGCAAUACGGAGCGGCAGACGGGAGAGUAACACGUGGGAACGUGCCCUUCAGUUCGGAACAACCCAGGGAAACUUGGGCUAAUACCGGAUACGUCCGUAAGGAGAAAGAUUUAUCGCUGAAGGAUCGGCCCGCGUCUGAUUAGCUAGUUGGUGGGGUAAUGGCCCACCAAGGCGAUGAUCAGUAGCUGGUCUGAGAGGACGAUCAGCCUCACUGGGACUGAGACACGGCCCAGACUCCUACGGGAGGCAGCAGUGGGGAAUAUUGGACAAUGGGCGCAAGCCUGAUCCAGCCAUGCCGCGUGGGUGAUGAAGGCCCUAGGGUUGUGAAGCCCUUUCGGCGGGGAAGAUAAUGACGGUACCCGCAGAAGAAGCCCCGGCUAACUUCGUGCCAGCCGCCGCCGUAAUAC
rnacentral:rRNA from 1 species